GAAUAAGGGAGCCGUAGAGAAAUCGAGUCUGAAUAGGGCGAUAGUCGCUGGGAGUAGACCCGAAACCGGGCGAUCUAGCCAUGUGCAGGAUGAAGGUUGGGUAACACCAACUGGAGGUCCGAACCGGGUAAUGUUGAAAAAUUAUCGGAUGACGUGUGGCUAGGAGUGAAAGGCUAAUCAAGCCCGGAGAUAGCUGGUUCUCCCCGAAAGCUAUUUAGGUAGCGCCUCGUGAAUGAUUACUGGGGGUAGAGCACUGUUUCGGCUAGGGGGCUGUCAUGGCUUACCAAACCGAUGCAAACUCCGAAUACCGGCUAAUUGAAUCACGGGAGACACACGGCGGGUGCUAACGUCCGUCGUGGAGAGGGAAACAACCCAGACCGCCAGCUAAGGUCCCCAAGUACUAGUUAAGUGGGAAACGAUGUGGGAAGGCAUAGACAGCCAGGAGGUUGGCUUAGAAGCAGCCACCCUUUAAAGAAAGCGUAAUAGCUCACUGGUCGAGUCGGCCUGCGCGGAAGAUGUAACGGGGCUAAAACUAGUCACCGAAGCUGCGGAUGUGCGCGAAGGCGCACGUGGUAGGGGAGCGUUCUGUAGGCUGAUGAAGGUGCAUUGAGAAGUGUGCUGGAGGUAUCAGAAGUGCGAAUGCUGACAUGAGUAACGAUAAUGUGGGUGAAAAGCCCACACGCCGGAAGUCCCAGGUUUCCUGCACGACGUUAAUCGGAGCAGGGUGAGUCGGCCCCUAAGGCGAGGCUGAAGAGCGUAGUCGAUGGGAACCAGGUUAAUAUUCCUGGACUUUUUAUAAGUGGUGAAGUGGGGACGAAGAAGGCUAGGUGAGCCAGGCGUUGGUUGUCCUGGUACUUGCAUGUAGGGGGGAAGACUUGGCAAAUCCGGUUUUCCAUAACUCUGAGGUGCGAAGUGGUUCUGACCUUUUGGUACAGAGAAGUCAUUGAUGCCCGGCUUCCAGGAAAAGCUGCUAGCCAUAACUUAUAGAGAACCGUACCGCAAACCGACACAGGUGGACAGGUAGAGAAUACUAAGGCGCUUGAGAGAACUCGGGUGAAGGAACUAGGCAAAAUGGUACCGUAACUUCGGGAGAAGGUACGCCCUUUCUGGUGAUGGGAUUUACUUUCAGAGCUGGAGAGGGCCGCAGAGACCAGGUGGCUGCGACUGUUUAUUAAAAACACAGCACUCUGCAAAUUCGUAAGAAGACGUAUAGGGUGUGACGCCUGCCCGGUGCCGGAAGGUUAAUUGAUGGGGUUAUCUUCGGAGAAGCUCUUGAUCGAAGCCCCGGUAAACGGCGGCCGUAACUAUAACGGUCCUAAGGUAGCGAAAUUCCUUGUCGGGUAAGUUCCGACCUGCACGAAUGGCGUAACGAUGGCCACACUGUCUCCACCCGAGACUCAGUGAAAUUGAAAUCGCUGUGAAGAUGCAGUGUACCCGCGGCUAGACGGAAAGACCCCGUGAACCUUUACUAUAGUUUUGCACUGGACUUUGAUGAUGACUGUGUAGGAUAGGUGGGAGGCUGUGAAGUGAGGACGCUAGUUCUCAUGGAGCCGCCCUUGAAAUACCACCCUGUUGUUAUUGAGGUUCUAACUUGGUCCAGUAAUCCUGGAUGAGGACAGUGUAUGAUGGGUAGUUUGACUGGGGCGGUCUCCUCCCAAAGAGUAACGGAGGAGCACAAAGGUACCCUCGGUACGGUCGGACAUCGUACCAAGAGUGUAAAGGCAAAAGGGUGCUUGACUGCGAGAGUGACGGCUCGAGCAGGAACGAAAGUUGGUCUUAGUGAUCCGGUGGUUCUGAAUGGAAGGGCCAUCGCUCAACGGAUAAAAGGUACUCCGGGGAUAACAGGCUGAUACCGCCCAAGAGUUCAUAUCGACGGCGGUGUUUGGCACCUCGAUGUCGGCUCAUCACAUCCUGGGGCUGAAGCAGGUCCCAAGGGUAUGGCUGUUCGCCAUUUAAAGUGGUACGCGAGCUGGGUUUAGAACGUCGUGAGACAGUUCGGUCCCUAUCUGCCGUGGGCGUAGGAAAAUUGAGAGGAGCUGCUCCUAGUACGAGAGGACCGGAGUGGACGAACCUCUGGUGCACCGGUUGUCACGCCAGUGGCAUGGCCGGGUAGCUAAGUUCGGACGGGAUAACCGCUGAAAGCAUCUAAGCGGGAAGCCUCCCUCAAGAUGAGUUUUCCCAUGAAGCCCGUUGAAGACUACGACGUUGAUAGGCAAGGUGUGGAAGCGCAGUAAUGCGUGAAGCUAACUUGUACUAAUUGGCUGAUUGUCUUGACCA
rnacentral:rRNA from 2 species